AAUUUGCACUUUGGCAGUUGAAUUUUUCUUUAUAUUUUGUCCAUAAUAUGGUACAUUUAAACGUGAAUUUCAUUUCACUUCUGUUCAUCUUAGCUCCUUAAAACAGGCUCCUGAAAUCCACUGUUUUCUCAAAAGCUUCUCACAUGAGUGUGAAGUAUUCAAGCUGGCUGUAAAUAAUAAAUGUGAGCUGCCUAACAGCAUGUGACACGCCCUGCGGAGAGAAACCCCUGAGCCAGGAAAAGGACAGACCACCUUAACAUCUCUUUAUCUUUCGUGCAGGUCAACCUCGGACGCUUUGUAGCAGCCUACCUUUGCACCAUCAAAGUGAGGUCACCAGUGUGAGGACACCAGGCCUACGUCUCAUGAGCAACCACAUUUAUUCAAGAGAAUAAUUCAACUAUUGGGUUUGAAUUGGAACAUCAGCAGAUGUCAUUUUCCGACACGCGGAAGGACCUCCUGGAAUCCAAGGUGAUUCAGAAGGUAAGAGAUGAUGCAGAUUUUGAGGCCCAUGAGGGAGCAUCUUCCUGGGGAAGAAACGGGAAUAGGGCUAAAUGCAUUAGUGAUGAGAGCUAAAAUAAGCCUCCCUACUGAGGACACGGCCCAGAACUGGGAGUCACAGACUCCAAAUAUGACAGGCUAUGAAGUUUUUGCGAAAUCUCUAAUAUAUUCAUUUAAGCUCAUACUAAAAGUAGAAUACAACAGAACAGCUUUAUGCGUGUAUCUGUGUUGGAAUGUGUGGUCACUGUGGACAACAAGCACCUAUUGGUGUCGCAGACCAAUUAGUUUGUGUCGCUGAGACUCGCGUUCUGUGGAAAAUGACACAAUGGCAGCCAAAAAUGGAGUGAAAAAAACCUGGAUUUGUCAAACUAAUGAGUGUGCAAGGAGCUUUUUGUCUUCUCUCUCCUCUGCUAAUUGCGAAUUAGAAGACAAAUCUGGACGCGCCAGGCUGUGUUCCAGUGUUUAAAUCCAGUCGCCACCCACUCUCACACUCUAUUAUCCCCGCUGAUACGACUCCACGACACCACAUUUGUACUCAUGGAGACAUGCAUUAUUGAACAGACAGAAGCCAAGAUUAGAAACGGAGGAGUGCAGCAACUAUACAAAAGCCAGGCAGGGAAGUCUCCCAAGAUAGAAAGGUGAUCUAUCACUGACACGAUUGAGAGUUGUCAUUAUCCUACGCCCAUACGGACGGCCUUUCCUGGGAUUUUCAUUGUGAGAAGCGGAGUGGAUGGAUGCUGGGUGGCAGGGAUUCAGAGCUACAUGUGAUGGAUUGUGUUGUCAUUUACUGAGAAUGAUACAGAGCUAUGAGCUUUUUUCAGCUUCGGCCUGCUAUUUUUAGCCUGAUUUCCCUCCAACCUGAUGAAUCACAGACUAGAAAUAGACAUCUCCUCGCUAAGAGUUCCCUCAGUGGUGUGACAGGAAUUGAGUUAUUUAUUUAGUGGUUACCGUAAAUCAGAGACUAUUGCUCUGUUUACAUAUGUCAUUGUUUAUUUUAUGAUUUCAACGGCAGCUUCAAUCUGAUGUUAUUGGAGGUAUGUGAAAGCAGAAGUUUGGCACCAUCUUUCUAAUGCCCAAGUUGCUGUUUUAAACUAGGGGUUCAAUGAGGUUUCGUCGCCAUGGUGUUUCUUCUUCAUGCAAAACUGGGCUCACUAGAAGAAGCCUGUCAGACUGUUCGUCCAUUUGCUGCUCAAACAAUAAGGAAAGCUGUAACAGCAGCAACAUCAACAGAGAGCGACAUCAGAGUAGUUUUUAAGUUCAUGAAUUGGAGGUAUCCUUCCCAAAUGCACAAGCAACAGGACCAGUCGAUCAGUGACACUGAGGCGAGACAGAGAGUGAGGACUGAGGAAGAAAUGUAGCACUACAAGUGUGAGAUACCUGCUCGCCGUGCUGUUUUAUACAGAAUAUAAACCUAGAACAGCAUAAAAAACUAGGGAGUCUUUCUCUUUUAUGAGGCUGACAGUCAAGCACUUCAUGCCCAACUUAUUGACCAAAUGAUGGAGCCAUGAUCAGUGCCAUGGAUCACCUCAUCCAAGUAAAAAAAAAAAACAAAAAAAAAACUUUUUUGUUGCCUGUGUUUACUGUCAACUUAAUGCUACAGUUCAAAGUUUUAUUUAUAAUUUUCCAUGGUAGACAAAAGGAGUUCCUGAAUGAAUGCAAGUUAAACCUGUUUUUUUAAUUCUCCUGCAUUGACUUGUGAAUUAAAAAGCAUUUUCUCAGUUUAAUUUUAUUGGAAGUGGUUAGUUAAAAUGAUUAUCAUCUCAUCUUGUGAAUCCUUUUCUUCAGUGGAAAUUUAAUGAUUUCCUGUUCAUAAAAUUAAGAGAGGAAUACAAUGUGUUUUACAAUAUAUACAGGGACUAAAAUGAUGCUCAUGUGAGUAUUAAAAUAAUACUAUAGCAUUUUGAUUGUAGACAUUGCAAAAAUGUGGAUUUUUUUCAAAAGUCAAGAUUUCAGAUUCAGUUUAGCGUUUGUUGUGUUUAUCUCUUUUACACUUGAAAUUCGAUGUUUAUUUUUCUUGUAAAUAUGUGGGUGUUUUCAUUGUCUUUCCAAAGUUUGCGAAGUGUGCUUCCUUUAACAUUUUGCUGUGAGUUUCAACACAAAGAGGCUUGAGUUUGUUUUCGUGGUCGCGGUGCACUUGCUGAGUGAUUAUUGGAGAGAGAAAUAGUCAUCAGAGGGCAAUAUAAAAUGAAAAUGUGGCCAUGGGAAUGACUCUCUUUGUAGAUGUAAACGAUGGAUUUUUUUGUCAUUGACUCACAAAGCUCCUGGGAAAUAAGCGUCUCCUCACUUUAUCAUCUAUUUUUAGUCCAAGUGCCUCUCCAUCAUGGCGCAGAUGGUUUCCACACAUUACAGUGAUAUCUCCGGCAAAUCCACUGCUGCUGAUCUGUCUAUUUUUAGUCACCUUCUCAGUGGGGCAUCAGCAGUGUAGAUGUUUUUUUUUAAUUCCAGCAGCAUCAGCACAGAGAAGCAAAAAAGUAGAUCCUCCUGAGGUCAUUAAUUUAUGCUGCACUGGCAGAGGAAAUGAAACGUCUUUGUAAAUCAAUGAAACGGUGGCUCUUUACGAAACAGGCAGCGACUGAAUUGUUUCUCUUCAGCACCAUGAGCCUCUGCGACUCUUAACUUCUGACAGAUCUUAUGUAACAUAUUCUCACCUCUGCUGACCAGCUGGUGAGGAACUUAGCACCUUUUAUUUCCAAUAACAAUCGUUUACUUUCCUCCCACGAGGCUAAAUAUAGAGAGAGCUGCUGUCUUGCGAGUUGUCUCAGAGACAGACGAGCGAUGUGGGCAGUGUGCGAGGCCCACUGUGCUGAAUCUUCAGGUUAUGCAACUGAUACGAUGGUGCUAAAGAACCUCGGCCCGGUGACACAUUCCCUCGGCUGGCCCUUCAGUCAGGACAUUUUGUUUUCCAUGUUAUAAUUUACCUGGAGGAGGUGCAACUUGUUCCUUCUUGGUUUCCUAGAAGAGCAUGAUCUUUGGCGGGUUACAUUUGUUAUUGCUGCGGGUGGAUUUGAUUUAAUAUCAUUUAACAUUUCACUCUGUGUGCUCAAUGUUAUCGUUUCAUUUAGAGCGUUGGAGAAAUGUCUAAAAAUACAUUGUUUGCAGUGCUCUUGCACAAAGAUGAAAGCCAAAUAAUAAAGAAUAAUAUUUAUGGAUUAUAAGUGUUAUGAGUUCAUAUACAGUGUGUAUUAGUGUUGAUCUGAAAAUUAUUGAACAUUUAGUAAAACCUAGUGGUGAUUUUUCUUUGGGUAUCUACUCAG